rnacentral:rRNA from 1 species
AACGAACGCUGGCGGCAUGCCUAACACAUGCAAGUCGAACGAGACCUUCGGGUCUAGUGGCGCACGGGUGCGUAACGCGUGGGAACCUGCCCUUAGGUUCGGAAUAACUCCCCGAAAGGGGUGCUAAUACCGGAUAAUGUCUUCGGACCAAAGAUUUAUCGCCUUUGGAUGGGCCCGCGUUGGAUUAGCUAGUUGGUAGGGUAAAAGCCUACCAAGGCGACGAUCCAUAGCUGGUCUGAGAGGAUGAUCAGCCACACUGGGACUGAGACACGGCCCAGACUCCUACGGGAGGCAGCAGUGGGGAAUAUUGGACAAUGGGCGAAAGCCUGAUCCAGCAAUGCCGCGUGAGUGAUGAAGGCAUUAGGGUUGUAAAGCUCUUUUACCCGGGAUGAUAAUGACAGUACCGGGAGAAUAAGCUCCGGCUAACUACGUG